ensembl:lncRNA
CUCAAAUUGCAUUACUAAUAUUGAUCUUGUUUUCGCAUGUGUUUUUCUUUUCGUACUUACUGGAAGAAAGUCUUAUUUCUAGCAGCUGGCCCUUUGAGAAAAGUGUCUGGCAUUAGCAAAACACUGGGCAUUUCUUUCCGCCAUUUGGGUAGAUCUAGAAUAAUUGGAAUGUAGAAAAGGUUGCCUGUUUCGAUCAUGUCCAAACCCCAUAGAUUCCUCUUGCACAACGGCUAUUUAGUUGGAUUUUUGUGGCUGUGUGGGUGUAGGACUGCAGCAAGCACUCAUGAUUUCAUCCUGUGAAAGGACUGCAUCCACAUCCAACUUUUUUUCUUUUAUGGUCUGGCUCUCUGCCAUAUGUUCAGUGAAUAAAUUGGAUGUGACUGAGCAAUUUCUGAACCAAACUACUGCAGCGAAGGCAUUAGCCAGCGCAAUAAGGACUAGAAGAGAGCUUCAAGACCAGUUACCAGGAUUUUCCAGGGUCUCCAACAAUGAUAUUGCGCUCAAGAUUCCAAAAGCCUUCAGAGGUGAAGAAUAGAAAACGACAAAUGAGGUGUGGUAAAGAUAAACGGAAAAAAUCAACUGCAUCUCGGAUAGCAAUGGACCAGGAAACUACGCGUAAAAAUCAAAACCUAAAGAAAUCAUCAAGUAAAUGUGAAGCAUACCAACACUAUGACAGAAAGAAAUGUUACAUACUGACAAGGGACUCAAAAACUCUGCGUUUUGAUUUAGACGACAAUGGCUGUCAUAAAAUAUCAAUUGAGGAUUCACAAUCCAUUGAAGAUAUUGCAUGGUUAGACAUAUUCACAAGCAACAAACCGAAUAAUUAUGCUCUGGUGGCCAGAAACAGCACUAAAAAACGUUGUAAAAAUUUGGUGACCAUGACCCAGCGAUCAAAAAAUAACUUUCUCCUAUUGGGCAAGAAUAAGAAACAACUGUGUCUGAAGUUGACUGAACAAGAAAACCAGCUGUUCAUCAUGCAUUACAACGAAGAAGAUUCAGUUAGGUUUCAGUGUUAUGAGGAUCAGAACUACUACCUUCAUGUGAACAAGGACUCCGUUGAUCUAUGCAAGAUGAAAGAAACAGAUGCUGAUACAGGAAAAGACUUCUAUUUCAAGGUGGCAUAUGUGUGAUACAUAGUUCCCCAGACCUUGCAAUGACUCAAGUAUGUACACAGCCCCUGAAAUGAGCCAAUACAAAAUAGAAAUGAAGGGAGAUUGAGAUCACGGGGGGAUUAAGUUCCUUAGUUUUGUAUCAAGUUUUUCUAUAGCUUCUGUUUCAUGAUUCACUAUUUUUGAUGUCUAAGGGAGAGGUUAUUUUGUGUUUUAAAUAUGCUGUACCUGAGCGAAGUAUGUAACUUAGAGAAGGGAUGGCUAGCAGUGUUUUAGAAAAAAAAAAGCAAUUUCUUGGUAACUUUUUUUUCCUUGACAUUAUAUUUAUACUUUAAAGGAGGCUGAUUUAGGAAGUGGGGAACAUAACAGCAGGGACCCAAAAAUAGGAAGAGAGAAUCACAGAAAAGAUAACACUUUUAAUAUUACAUUUUGUAAUAAGAAACUGUAUUUCUUAAAUGUCGCACAUAAAUUCACCUGAAAAACCAUGAAGGAGAUUAAUAAUUAUUCAGCAGCCACUACAUGUACGUGAAUGUGUGUGUACAAUGUACUUACUUUACUGAGGCUUUGCUACACCAGCCAUUCUGCUCCCACCCUGGAGAUCUGAAAAAAAGAGCAUAAGGACAGAGGGCUAGUAGUUAAAGGCUAACAGCAAAGCUAUUCCACCUUCUUUACCACCCCCCAAGUAAAUCCAUUUACCUUUCCAAGCUACUCCAGCCCCCAUUCUUCAUCUUUCCACCCCCACCAAAAAAAAAACAGCUGAAUGGCCUGAGAAUCCCACUGCAUUAGCAGGAAGAGGGCAGAUUGGGCAUCAUGGAAGGAUGUGCUCCCUGUGAACUUUGGUCUGAUCAAUUCCCAACUCGAUCCUAGAGGGAAACACAAUAGAGAAGGAAAUCUUUAGCUCAGGUACAGAGCAAAGUACAAAACAGUACAAACAAAAAUUGAAAUAAGUGUCUGAAUAAAUGAAUUCAAAGAAUAAACUCA